rnacentral:rRNA from 1 species
GACCCCAGUCAGGUGGGGCUACCCGCUGAGUUUAAGCAUAUAAAUAAGCGGAGGAGAAGAAACUUACAAGGAUUCCCUUAGUAACGGCGAAGCGAAACCGGAUCAGCCUAGCUUGAGAAUCGGGCGGCUGCGUCGUCUGAAUUGUAGUCCGGAGAAGCGUCCUCGGCGACGGACCGGGCCCAAGUCCCCUGGAAAGGGGCGCCGGGGAGGGUGAGAGCCCCGUCCGGCUCGGACCCUGUCGCAACACGAGGCGCUGUCGACGAGUCGGGUUGUUUGGGAAUGCAGCCCCAAUCGGGCGGUAAAUUCCGUCCAAGGCUAAAUAUGGGCGAGAGACCGAUAGCGAACAAGUACCGCGAGAGAAAGAUGAAAAGGACUUUGAAAAGAGAGUCAAAGAGUGCUUGAAAUUGCCGGGAGGGAAGCGGAUGGGGGCCGGCGAUGCACCUCGGUCGGAUGUGGAACGACGGUUAGCCGGUCCGCCACUCGGCUUGGGGUGCGGAUCGAUGCGGGCUGCAUCGAUGGCCGAAGCCCGGACGGAUCGUUCGUUCGAGGGGAUACCGUCGAUGCGGUCGAGAGGACAUGACGCGCCAUCGGGCGUGCCCCCUGAAGGGUACACGUGGCGACCUAGGCAUCGGCCAGUGGGCUCCCCAUCCCACCCGCCUUGAAACACGGACCAAGGAGUCCGACAUGCGUCGAAGUCAACGGGUGCGGAAACCCGGAAGGCACAAGGAAGCUAAUGGGCGGAACCCUCUCGAGGGGUUGCACCAUCGGCCGACCCGAUCUUCUGUGAAGGGUUCGAGUUGGAGCAUGCAUGUCGGGACCCGAAAGAUGGUGAACUAUGCCCGAAGCGAGGCGGCUAGAGGAAACUCGGUGGAGGCCCGGCGAUCUUGACGCGGCAAAUCGUUCGUCCGACUUUGGUAUAGGGGCGAAAGACUAAUCGAACCAUCUAGUAGCUGGUUCCCUCCGGUUUCCCUCGGGAUAGCUGGAGCCCACGUGCGAAGUUCUAUCGGGUAAAGCCAAUGAUUAGAGGCAUCGGGGCGCAAUGCCCUCGACCUAUUCUCAAACUUUAAAUAGGUAGGACGGCGUGGCUGCUUCAUUGAGCAGCGUCCGCGAAUCGAGAGCUCCAAGUGGGCCAUUUUUUGGUAAGCAGAACUGGCGAUGCGGGAUGAACCGGAAGCCGGGUUACGGUGCCCAACUACGCUAACCCGCACACCACAAAGGGUGUUGGUCGAUUAAGACAAAGGGCGGUGGUCAUGGAUGUCGAAAUCCGCUAAGGAGUGUAACAACAACUCACCGCCAAUCAACUAGCCUCGAAAAUGGAUUGCGCUGAAGCUGCCACGAUGACCCACACCCGCCAUCGGGGCGAAAGCGCCAAGCCCCGAUGAGUAGGAGGGCGCGGCGGUCGCCGCGAAAACCCAGUAUGAGCCCGGGAGCGGCCGUCGGUGCAGAUCUUUGUGGUAGUAGCAAAUAUUCAAAUGAAAACUUUGAAGGCCGAAGAGGGGAAAGGUUCCAUGUGAACGGCACUUGCACAUGGGUUAGCCGAUCCUAAGGGACGGGGGAAGCCCGUCCAAGAGCGUGUCUCCGCGCGAGCUCCGAAAGGGAAUCGGGUUAAAAUUCCCGAGCCGGGACGCCAGCGGCGGACGGCAACGUUAGGAAGUCCGAGACGUCGGCGGGGGCUCCGGCAAGAGUUAUCUUUUCUGCUUAACGACCCGCCCACCCUGGAAAUGGCUCAGCCGGGUAGGGUCCAGCGGUGGAAGAAGCGCCGCCGUGUCAGCCCGUCCGGUCGCCCGGCGACCCUUGAAAAUCCAGAGGACCGAAAGCCGCCCACGCCCGUCGUACUCAUAACCGCAUCGUCUCCAAGGUGAACAGCCUCGCCCAUGGAACAAUGUAGGCAAGGGAAGUCGGCAAAAACAGAUCCGUAACCGGAAAAAAGGAUUGGCUCGGUGGGCACGGGGUCCCGCCCCGAACCCGUCGGCUAUCGGCGGACUGCGAGAUGCUCUCGCGGCGAGAGGGUCGCCGCCGGCCCGGCCGAGGGGACGGACCGGAAUGGCCCCCCUCGGGGGCCUUCCCCGGCGUCGAACAGCCGACUUCGAACUGGUACGGACAAGGGGAAUCCGAAUCGUUUAAUUAAAACAAUGCAUUGCGAUGGACCCCGCGGAUGCUCACGCAAUGUGAUUUCUGCCCGAGCUCUGAAUGUCAAAGUGAAGAAAUUCAACCAAGCGGCAAACGGGCGAGUAACUAUGACUCUCUUAAGGUAGCCAAAUGCCUCGUCAUCUAAUUAGUGACGCCGCAUGAAUGGAUUAACGAGAUUCCCACCCCCCGUCUACUAUCCAAAUAAACCACCCAAGGGAACGGGCUUGGCAGAAUCAGCGGGGAAAGAAGACCCUGUUGAGCUUAACUCUAGUCCGACUUUGUGAAAUGACUUGAGAGGUGUAGGAUAAGUGGGAGCCGGUUCGCCGGCGGAAGUGAAAUACCACUACUUUUAACUUUAUUUUACUUAUUCCGUGAGUCGGAGGUGGGGCCCGGCCCCUCCUUUUGGACCAAAGGCCCGCCUAGCGGGCCGAUCCGGCGGAAGACAUUGUCAGGUGGGGAGUUUGGCUGGGGCGGCACAUCUGUUAAAAGAUAACGCAGGUGUCCUAUUAUAGCUAUUCCAAUCACGAACAACUCUUCAGAUAUACUUAUUUGGCCUCAUGACAAUGGCAAAUUUAUUGCCACAUCCGCAUGGAAUCAAAUUAGGCAAAGAAAUAACAAGUGGGUCCCAAGCAGUUGGACAUGGGAUCGACCGGGAUCACAAAUACAUUCCUUAUGUACAUGGCAGGCCCUUCUCAAUAAACUACCUACAAUAGACAAUAUGAAAAGAAGAGGUAUCUAUCAUGUUAACCGAUGCUCCCUUUGUAUGCAACAAGAAGAAACUGUUG